rnacentral:tRNA from 1 species
GACGCUGUGGCCCCGGGGGUCAAGUGGCCUGCAAAGCCGUUCACUGUGGGUUCGACUCCCACCGGCAUCU